AUGCCAGCUUCGGCACAUAUACUAACACUAGAAAGACACAAAGAUAAGGAUGAUCCCUGCGCAAGGAUAAAAUGCAAAUUCAUGAAGUCUUUUUUUUUUUU
ensembl:snRNA U6 U6 spliceosomal RNA